AAUGAUGAGCCUGAGUUUAAAGGACUAUCGUGAUAGGAUAAAAUAUGUAGUUAAACCUACCUUCAUUA
rnacentral:tRNA from 1 species